CUCCUGCGGUCGUCGGCUAAAAGCGGUCACGUCCUGUGACCACCGCCGACACUAGAACGUCCUGUUCG
rnacentral:sRNA from 1 species